GUGUUUUUCAUAGUAUUAGAUAUAAGAUUAAUUGAGACCAGAAGCCGGCUUGUGAAAGUAGGUGGAGGCACAACAGAGGCGUCUGUUGAUUUAAUGAAUGCUUUAAGAGCAUCGGUUUACCCCAAAACCGAUGCUUUUUUUUA
rnacentral:sRNA from 1 species